CCUCCGGCUAGCUCUAGACUACCGAGCCGUCCGAGGAAAAGAACAGACACGACGGCGCGUACGUAGACUAGACAGUUCAUUGCAGUGAUAGUUUUCGAGUUUAAGGAGAUAGGAUCAAGAAGCCAUGGGAGUGGGAGGAGAAAAGUUGCGAGGUUUACGGUUCGAGUGAAACAGAGAACAGAUGAAGAAGACGUGGAGUUAGAAAGGCUGAAAGAGUAAAAAAGAAAAGAAAAAAAAAAA